CAUGGGAUGAAAUUUGUCAACUAGAAGAUUUUCCAGGCUCCACAAAUAUUCGUAAGGAUUUUACACGACUGAAGGAUGGAUGGAAGCUGGUAUCUGACUGCUCGAUGAUACAAAUGGUAGAAGAAUCCAAAGCCUGGGCUGUGCAAUCACUGAUAUUUACACUUCCUCCUGGUGCUGACUCCAUGACAGCCCUUCUGUAGUUUGCUGAUGAUCAAGUAUUUUAAUAUCUCCAGACUUUUUUAACAUAGCUGAUGUUUGUGUGUGUAUAUGUGUACAUAUGUGUAUGUUUGUGUGAAGCAGGGAACUUAUAUUUAAGUAAAAGUUGAAAUGCCAAAGUUUUUAACUCCCCAAAUUGAUCUUCUGAUUCUCUUUAACAAAAGGCACUAAAUAACGUAGAGGACUUUUUUCAGGAAUAAAUAAUUUGUCUAUUGUUUAAAGAAAAUGGUAGGAUAAAUAUUUUUAGCAUAUUUUAUGAUCUUGUGAAGUCAUGAUCUAUUUAACUAAUUUGUUUGUGUAAUCUCAAAUAUAAAAUGCAAAAAAGAAAAAAACUGUAAUGGUUUAAAUGUUUAUUGUAAGUAAUCUUAUCUGAAAAUGCUAUUUUUUUUCUAAUACGCAUUAAUUGUAAUAUAAUACUUAACUGAAAACAUCAUAGUAACAUAGGACCUUAGAAUCUUGGGUGACAUUUACACAUCAGAAUUGCAGAAUUGAAGUAUGGAUUUUUUUCACUUUGACUGUCAUUAUUAUGGUAUUUAAAACAAC